rnacentral:rRNA from 1 species
AGAGUUUGAUCCUGGCUCAGGAUGAACGCUAGCUACAGGCUUAACACAUGCAAGUCGAGGGGCAGCAUCAUCAAAGCUUGCUUUGAUGGAUGGCGACCGGCGCACGGGUGAGUAACACGUAUCCAACCUGCCGACAACACUGGGAUAGCCUUUCGAAAGAAAGAUUAAUACCGGAUGGCAUAGUCUUCCCGCAUGGGAUGACUAUUAAAGAAUUUCGGUUGUCGAUGGGGAUGCGUUCCAUUAGGCAGUUGGCGGGGUAACGGCCCACCAAACCGACGAUGGAUAGGGGUUCUGAGAGGAAGGUCCCCCACAUUGGUACUGAGACACGGACCAAACUCCUACGGGAGGCAGCAGUGAGGAAUAUUGGUCAAUGGACGAGAGUCUGAACCAGCCAAGUAGCGUGAAGGAUGACUGCCCUAUGGGUUGUAAACUUCUUUUAUAAAGGAAUAAAGUCGGGUAUGCAUACCCGUUUGCAUGUACUUUAUGAAUAAGGAUCGGCUAACUCCGUGCCAGCAGCCGCGGUAAUACGGAGGAUCCGAGCGUUAUCCGGAUUUAUUGGGUUUAAAGGGAGCGUAGAUGGAUGUUUAAGUCAGUUGUGAAAGUUUGCGGCUCAACCGUAAAAUUGCAGUUGAUACUGGAGAUCUUGAGUGCAGUUGAGGCAGGCGGAAUUCGUGGUGUAGCGGUGAAAUGCUUAGAUAUCACGAAGAACUCCGAUUGCGAAGGCAGCUUACUGGAUUGUAACUGACGCUGAUGCUCGAAAGUGUGGGUAUCAAACAGGAUUAGAUACCCUGGUAGUCCACACAGUAAACGAUGAAUACUCGCUGUUUGCGAUAUACAGUAAGCGGCCAAGCGAAAGCAUUAAGUAUUCCACCUGGGGAGUACGCCGGCAACGGUGAAACUCAAAGGAAUUGACGGGGGCCCG